AUUGAACGCUGGCGGCAUGCCUUACACAUGCAAGUCGAACGGCAGCGGACCUUCGGGUGCCGGCGAGUGGCGAACGGGUGAGUAAUGCAUCGGAACGUGCCAUUGAGUGGGGGAUAACGUAGCGAAAGUUGCGCUAAUACCGCAUAUUCUGUGAGCAGGAAAGCAGGGGACCGCAAGGCCUUGCGCUCUUUGAGCGGCCGAUGUCAGAUUAGCUAGUUGGUGAGGUAACGGCUUACCAAGGCGACGAUCUGUAGCGGGUCUGAGAGGAUGAUCCGCCACACUGGAACUGAGACACGGUCCAGACUCCUACGGGAGGCAGCAGUGGGGAAUUUUGGACAAUGGGGGCAACCCUGAUCCAGCCAUGCCGCGUGAGUGAAGAAGGCCUUCGGUUGG
rnacentral:rRNA from 1 species